UGUGGCACUUGAGGUAGAUUUUAUAAUUGUGAAAGCAAUUCAUUGGUUGAAGAAAUAAAAAUUAACUGUACCCAGUAGUCCAUAUAUCAUAAAAACUCCAAACUUGGAUCCCAAAUUUUGAAGUACAUAUACAUAUGUCUUCUUUGUACUCAUUUGAAAGACAUGGUUCUUGUAAGACUUCGAAGAAUUGUUUUACCCAAUUAUUAAGGACCUACUAUGUGUAGAACUCAAUUUUUUUUUCAAGAACUGGGAAUGUAUUAGAAUUCUGAUCCACCUCAAUGUACAGAUAAGGACUGAGAUUCAAAGAAGUUAAGAACUGAAAUUCAUGAGCUCUUGGAUAUGUAUAAGAAUAGGAGAUGAUGGAUUCGGGUUACCUGUGGCUAUAAUCCCAACUACUAAUGAAAGACCCCCAUUUCCCUGUCCAAGGAGAAUCACACAAAACACUGGCUGCAAAAGCAUGAGGUGGUUUAUUGAGACACAGGCGCCUGUGGGUGCCCAGCAGAACCUCAGCCAGAGCUUUGGUGAGCUGGCACCCUGGGCUUGGGGAUACAGAGAUAUUUAUAGGGUAAAGGGACAGUUUUCGCCCACGGUAAGCAAUAGGUUUCUUAUUAGUUAAUUUUAAACCCAGCAUAUAGGCUACCUAAAGGGCAAAGUUGUUUUUCACUUUAUGUUACUGGAAAAACCACAUAAAAUCUACAUGUUUGCACUCUG